GUUUGUGCCCCUGGCUCUAUCAGUAGGAAGUCGUCUAGGCAGUGAAUAACGGAGUGACACCUGAGGACGUUCAGAAGCAGCCAGCAUAGUGUCUCAGCGAAGAUAUCGAAAAGUUUGGGGCUGCUUCGAGAACCGAAAGUGAGUCGUGUGGAGAAGUAGUACUUUCCUCGCCAUUUAACACCGUGCAAGUGCCAGAGUGAGGGGUGCAUG